UGGGGAAUAUUGGACAAUGGGCGAAAGCCUGAUCCAGCAAUGCCGCGUGAGUGAAGAAGGCCUUAGGGUUGUAAAGCUCUUCUACCCGGGAUGAUAAUGACAGUACCGGGAGAAUAAGCUCCGGCUAACUCCGUGCCAGCAGCCGCGGUAAUACGGAGGGAGCUAGCGUUGUUCGGAAUCACUGGGCGUAAAGCGCACGUAGGCGGCUUUGUAAGUUAGAGGUGAAAGCCCGGGGCUCAACUCCGGAACUGCCUUUAAGACUGCAUCGCUUGAAUCUGGGAGAGGUAAGUGGAAUUCCGAGUGUAGAGGUGAAAUUCGUAGAUAUUCGGAAGAACACCAGUGGCGAAGGCGGCUUACUGGACCAGAAUUGACGCUGAGGUGCGAAAGCGUGGGGAGCAAACA
rnacentral:rRNA from 1 species